rnacentral:rRNA from 1 species
GACGAACGCUGGCGGCGUGCUUAACACAUGCAAGUCGAACGGUGAAAGCGGAGCUUGCUCCGCUGGAUCAGUGGCGAACGGGUGAGUAACACGUGGGCAACCUGCCCCUCACUUCGGGAUAACUCCGGGAAACCGGGGCUAAUACCGGAUACGACCUCCUUGGGCAUCCUUGGAGGUGGAAAGUUUUUCGGUGAGGGAUGGGCCCGCGGCCUAUCAGCUUGUUGGUGAGGUAGUGGCUCACCAAGGCGACGACGGGUAGCCGGCCUGAGAGGGGGACCGGCCACGCUGGGACUGAGACACGGCCCAGACGCCGACGGGAGGAAGCAGUGGGGAAUAUUGCGCAAUGGGCGAAAGCCUGACGCAGCAACGCCGCGUGCGGGAUGACGGCCUUCGGGUUGUAAACCGCUUUCAGCAGGGAAGAAGCCGCAAGGUGACGGUACCUGCAGAAGAAGCACCGGCUAACUACGUGCCAGCAGCCGCCGUAA